GGGGCUGACCGGUUUUGACAGCAAGCAGAAUGUUCAUGUAAGCAUGCCGAGCCUUGCGAUGACGCUCGUUAAUCCUGAUCGCGAACAAUAAUUGGCGAAACUACUUACGCUCUCGCUGCCUAAUCGAAGUUCAGUAGAUUAAGCUUCAUCCCUUCACAAGGUGGGGGGACGAGACAUCCCGCAGGUGGAAAUGCCCGAUACCGGCCUGAGAACGGGGUGCUAAUCAAAUUUGGGAUCGCUCUGGCGGCGCUUCGACGACAGGGUUAAAAACAGAAGAUAAGACAGGGCUCAGGAUGGCUGUUUCCUUACCCUGUACGAAAAACAACAACAGCAUAAGCAUGUAGAAAGCCUGAGGGUUCCUUGUUUGGACGAGGGUUCGACUCCCUCCAGCUCCACAA
rnacentral:tmRNA from 1 species